rnacentral:rRNA from 1 species
UACGUAGGGGGCAAGCGUUGUCCGGAUUUAUUGGGCGUAAAGAGCGUGCAGGCGGCUUUACAGGUCCGUUGUGAAAACUCGAGGCUCAACCUCGAGACGCCGGUGGAAACCGUAAGGCUAGAGUCCGGAAGAGGAGAGUGGAAUUCCUGGUGUAGCGGUGAAAUGCGCAGAUAUCAGGAAGAACACCCGUGGCGAAGGCGGCUCUCUGGGACGGUACUGACGCUGAGACGCGAAAGCGUGAGGAGCGAACAGG